UGCUUCAUUCGGUCCUUGCCAUUCCACUAGCAUAUGCAGUUAUUGGGUUCACCUGUGAGAGGUAGGCAUCCAUCCUAGCCCGGCAGUACGUGACAGUGCCUGGUGUGUGUCCCAGUCUGUCCUUGUCCCCUUGGACCACCACAUUCCCAGCAGUGUUCUUCCCAGGGGAAGCUGCUGACCCAUUACAAGAAGAUCCAGACUACCCUGAGAGACCCGGAAUGGGAGAAACGCUGAAUAAAGGAGAGCUCAGGAUUGAGAUUGUAUUGGAUCACUGCACCACCAGCAUACCUGGACAAAAUGAUGAGAGGCCAGGAAUUACAUCUUUUGCAUGUCUUUCAGUGAUAGGUCUCUGAUCCUGGAAAAAUAUGGAAGGGUAGCUGGAAAACACAGGAUGGAAUUGCAAGGAGAUUUACAUCAAACAAACAAUCAAAUAACCAAACUCAGACUUCAAAACACAGUUUGGAAACUUUAGGAAACAUUUGCCUCGUUUAUUUUGUGCUCAGAGAGAGAAAUAUUCCUAUUAGAUUGCUCACACUUGAAAAUGUGAGUAUGAAAAGAGCACCUAAGUCAGAGAAAAAAAUAAAACAAGUAGGUUUGGUCUGCUAGUUUGUAUAAUUUUGCUGAGGCUUCACAUAUUUUCAAAUAAAGAACACUUCAAGUCACUUAAAUACUACAAAUAUUCCUACACUUUUUUUGAUUAAGUAAUACACACGGAAAGAAACUGCUGGGAAGGAAGACUGCUCCGGUUCCACUGCUCUGCAGGCCAAAAUCCAGAUCUCCGAAUCUCCAUUAGAUUUAAUAAGACACUUAAUUUCUGUGUUGUGGUUUUUUCCUCCAGAUGUAAAACUAGGACAGUGCAGCUACACUUGGCAGCCACUGUUUACAUUCUAGACCAUAAAUUUGAGUGGUCAGGAGCUGACGCACCCUAUACAUAGCAUUAACAGGAUGGACUUCUACUUUCGGUUGGAUUUUGUUUAUGCAGUAACUAAUUUAAAUAGUAUUAUUUCUAAAAGAA